UCAGAUCGAACGCUGGCGGCAUGGCUAAAACAUGCAAGUCGAACGCGAAUGGUAGCAAUACCUAGUAGAGUGGCGGACGGGUGAGUAAUGCAUUUCUAACGUACCCCGAGGUCAGGGAUAGCUGUGGGAAACUGCAGGUAAUACCUGAUGAUCUGGCGAGGCUGUAUGGCUUUGCCAGCAAAGGCUUGUAUGCCUUGGGAGCGGGAAAUGUGGUAUCAGGUAGUUGGUGGGGUAACGGCCUACCAAGCCUUUGACGCCUAGCCGGUGUGAGAGCACGACCGGCCACAUCGGGACUGAGACACUGCCCGGACUCCUACGGGAGGCAGCAGUGGGGAAUUUUGGACAAUGGGGGCAACCCUGAUCCAGCAAUGCCGCGUGAGUGAAGAAGGCCUUCGGGUUGUAAAGCUCUUUUGUCAGGGAAGAAACGGUUGGGGCUAAUAUCCCCGGCUAAUGACGGUACCUGAAGAAUAAGCACCGGCUAACUACGUG
rnacentral:rRNA from 1 species